GAUGAACGCUGGCGGCGUGCCUAACACAUGCAAGUCGAGCGAUUUACUUCGGUAAAGAGCGGCGGACGGGUGAGUAACGCGUGGGUAACCUGCCUCAUACACAUGGAUAACAUACCGAAAGGCAUGCUAAUACAAGAUGAUAUAAGAGAUUCGCAUGGAUUUCUUAUCAAAGCUCCGGCGGUAUGAGAUGGACCCGCGUCUGAUUAGCUAAUUGGUAAGGUAACGGCUUACCAAGGCGACGAUCAGUAGCCGACCUGAGAGGGUGAUCGGCCACAUUGGAACUGAGACACGGUCCAAACUCCUACGGGAGGCAGCAGUGGGGAAUAUUGCACAAUGGGCGAAAGCCUGAUGCAGCAACGCCGCGUGAGCGAUGAAGGCCUUCGGGUCGUAAAGCUCUGUCCUCAAGGAAGAUAAUGACGGUACUUGAGGAGGAAGCCCCGGCUAACUACGUGCCAGCAGCCGCCGUAAGAC
rnacentral:rRNA from 1 species